rnacentral:lncRNA from 1 species
AUUAAUAAGUACAAGAGAGUACAUUUUUGGUAACAUUAAUAAUUGGUCAAUUGGUACUGGAAGAUGAAAUAUCAAUUGAGAUAUUUUAUGUUACUACCUAAUAUUAUAAUAUAUAUAAAGUAUAUGUUAUAUAUUUGUGUGGUUGUAAGAGAAAGAGAAAGAAAAGGAUAAGAAGAGUAGGUAGUAAGUAAGAAAGAGUUAUCAGAAAGAAAGAAAAGAAGAAAGGGGAAAGUAGAUAAGAGGAAAAGAGAAGAAAGAAGAAGAGAGAAAGAAGGAAGAAAGGCUUGGAGGAGAAAAGGAAAAGCUCAUCAUCACCAUUUUCUACUCAUCAUCCUCACCAACUUCAUCUUCUUCUUCUACUAGGUGAGUUCUUAGAUAGAUUUAGCCUUUAGGGGAAAAUAACCUAUGUUUGGGGGUUAGGAUUUGUGUGAAUUUGCGAUGAACUUGUUGUGUUCAUACUCCUCAUCCAUGCUAUGCAGUGAACUCUGAAGAUGUUAAUUAUUAAUAAAAGAGACAUACGAAUAUUAAUAAGUACAAAAGAGGACAUUUUUGGUAACAUUAAUAAUUGGUCAAGUGGUACUGGAAGAUGAAAUAUCAAUUGAGAUAUUUUAUGUUACUACCUAAUAUUAAAAUAUAUAUAAAGUAUAUGUUAUAUAAUUGUGUGGUGGUAAGAGAAAG